rnacentral:lncRNA from 1 species
AUAAAACUGAAAAUGCUUUUGAUCGAAUUCAUAAAUGUUCAAAACAUCGGAGCUUUUUUGGAAAGUAAAGGCAAAUGCGAAAAAUAAAGAAAACAACUAAAAUAAAUAUGCAUGAUGCUUGUUCAGCCUUGCUACCCCUACGGUUUAUGGGCGAUGGUGGUCCUAAUUUACCAGUUGGUGAAGCGCUCCCCUCUGUUCACGGCUUGAAUGGAAGGGCCUUCCUACGCUCCCUCUUCAAAAAUCAUACAACAGUCCAUGUCAUCCAGAAAUAGGUUCUUUAUUGCCGUAAGAGCCUCAUCUUCCUCCGACCCGUAGAGAGUGUCGGCUGGCUGAAAUGUCUGCUCCAACUGAGGUAUGGGGUGCUCCAGUGGGUAAUAUGGGUUGCGCCAUGGUGGUGACCAGUUUCUGAAUUCCUGCCAAGUGUACUCGUACCCCAGUCCGAAGGUGGUACCAUGUUUCUUCAACUGGAUAGGUUUGGGGAUACCUUAAAGAUCUUACCAAGUCCUUUCCUCGGUUCAUAUCCACUCUAAUUAAGAAUACUCUCAACCUUGUUGCUCCACCAUUUGUCCUUGUCCACUGCGUUGACCCGCUCGAUAUGAUGAUAUGUCUCCGCCUAUUCCUGUUCUCCCUCCGAUCAUUAGAAUGGUCUGGCGACUGUAUAUGGGGUUGCUACCAUCGCCAUGGUUGAUUACUUCCUGAUGGUUCCAUUCGAACUUCAUAGCUUGAUGUAAAGUUGAUGCCACAGCCCCAACGGCAUGGAUCCAGGGUUGUCCCGCAGUAAGUUGUAAGAGGCUGGUAUGUCGAUGACUUGGAACUCAACUUCAAACCAAGUAGGUCCCAUUUGCAAACGCAGGCUAACCUCCCCGAGAGUAGACCUUUGAGAACCGUCAAAAACCUUAACAUUAAUAGCCCUAUCUUUUAUCUUGUGUAAGCCUUUGCCUAAUUUCUUGAGGGUUAUUAAUGGAAAAAUGUUGAGACUAGAACCUCCAUCGACUAGGAUCCUGGUAAUGAAAUGAUCUUUGCAUUGCACGGUGAUAUGUAAUGCUUUGUUAUGACUGAGCCCUUCAGGUGGCAAUUCAUCCUCGUGGAAAGUGAUUUUAUGACUUGGUGAUGAAAUGAUCCUCACAUUGCACAGUGAUGUGAAGUGAUUUGCUAUGACUAAGCCUUUCAGGUGGCAAUUCAUCCUCGUAGAAAGUGAUUUUAUGACUUUCCAGUACCUGCCCUAUCAUGUUGGCCAUUUCUCCUCAUGUUAUGUUGCUCGGGAUAUAAGCCUCGCUCAAUAUCUUCAUCAAGGCGUUCUUA